UACAGAGGUCUCAAGCGUUGUUCGGAUUCAUUGGGCGUAAAGGGUGCGUAGGCGGCGCGGUAAGUCGGGUGUGAAAUCUCGGAGCUUAACUUCGAAACUGCAUUCGAUACUGCCGUGCUUGAGGACUGGAGAGGAGACUGGAAUUUACGGUGUAGCGGUGAAAUGCGUAGAUAUCGUAAGGAAGACCAGUGGCGAAGGCGGGUCUCUGGACAGUUCCUGACGCUGAGGCACAAAGGUCAGGGGAGCAAACGGG
rnacentral:rRNA from 1 species